rnacentral:lncRNA from 1 species
AGCUUUGAGUUCAGUCUGCUGGGAUCUAGAGCCCCUUUCUUUUCACUACACUAAGGCAGACCAAAUGAGUAGAGGGAAGAAAAAGAAGAUUUGAACUGAUCUAAAAUACAGCAGGUCUGUCGCCUGCCAAAUGAAGGGUCUGGGCAGAGAAAACGACAUCGGCUCGUGGGGCUGGACAGCUUCGGAGAGAACUUGUUCUACUGAAGGAGAUCUGCCUCAGAUUCGUGUCUCACCGAGUAAUUCAACCUCCCUGGAUGAAGUUCAAGCCAGGAUGGCUGAGAGUUCAAGACCAGCCUAGGGGUUUGCUGUCCUAAGUAACAAUAAACUCCAACCCCCAAAUGCUGCCUG